rnacentral:rRNA from 1 species
AUGGCUAUCGCCGACGGGCAGCGCGCCACCGCAGCAGGAAAGAAACCCACCAUCGCCUCCCGGGUCGCCUCCAUCUGCGCCAUGAUCGACGAGCACAUCGCCACCGAGACGCCCAUGAGCGCCAGCCGAGUUGCCGCCGUUUACUCCAUGAUCGCCGACGUCGCCGACGCUGUCGCGGAGGCGAGGAAUAAGAUCGGCAGGAGGAGGAGGAAGUCCUACCCGGGCAUCACCCGCCGCUACGAGUACGAGGAGUUGCGCAGUCUCGGAGAUGGCUCGACCGCCGACGUCACCAAGGCGCGCCACCACGCGACCGGCCACACCGUCGCCCUGAAGACUAUCCGCGAAGACUGCUGCAGCGGCGCCGGCUAUAUCCUGCGGGAGGCCUGUUUCAUGGCCGCGUGCCACGGCCACCCCGCCCUCCUUCGUCUCCAUGGGCUCGCGCGCGAUCCGGACACCGGGGUCUACUCCCUGGUCAUGGAGUGCCUCGGGCCGUCCCUGCACCACGUCCUCCGCGAUCGCAUGGCCCGCACCGGCCGGCCGUUCCCGGAGGCCAACGUGCGCCUCAUAAUGAGGCAGCUGCUGUCCGGCGCGGAGGAGCUGCACAAGAACCUCAUCAUCCACCGCGACAUCAAGCUCAAGAACAUCCUCGUGGCCGUCGACGGCGCCGUGAAGAUCGGCGACUACGGAUCGGCACUGUCAAUCGCGGGGCAGAACGCCGACGACGAUUACUGGGCCGCCGGAACGAGGAAGUACCGCGCGCCGGAGAUGCUGCUGGAGAAGCCGGGCUACGACACGCUCGUCGACAUGUGGUCCCUCGGCUGCGUGAUGGCGGAGCUCCUCACCGGGGAGGCGCUGUUCAAAGCGCGCUGCGACUCGGACCAGCUGUACAUGAUCUACGACGUGUUUGGCGUGCCGGGGAAGAGGGAGUGGAAGCCAUACGAGUCGUCGUUCGUGGCUGACAAGGUGCCGGUGUGGCGGCGAGAGCAGGCGCAGCAGCGCCGACGAGGACAGUGGAACGGCAACCGGCUGCGCGAGCUGUUCCCGGAGGAGCUUCUGUCCAUGGAAGGGUUUGAGGUUCUCAAGGGGCUGCUCGCGUGCAAUCCCAGCAAGCGGUUGGCGGCCGCCGCCGCGCUCAAACUUCCGUGGUUCGCUGACAAAUGA